AGGUGUUUUUUUUCGGGUGUGACUUUUUACCCCAAUAUAUAUUGGGGUAUAUUGGGGUAAAAAGUCACGCCGCCAGAAAUACACAGAAACA
rnacentral:sRNA from 1 species